rnacentral:rRNA from 1 species
AACGCCCGGACCCAUCCCGAACCCGGAAGCUAAGCCUGCCAGCGCCGAUGAUACUACCCACACGGGUGGAAAAGUAGGACACCGCCGAAC